rnacentral:miRNA from 1 species
AAUGGGAGGAUGAGAGGGAGGAGUAACAAAAGUGAAAACAAAAUCUUGAAAGUGAAAACAAUUUGAAAUAGAUUUCAGUUUUUAGUUUUUGUUUUCACUUUUGUUCCUCCUCCCUCCCAUCCUCUCCUCUC